GUGGGGAAUUUUGGACAAUGGGCGCAAGCCUGAUCCAGCAAUGCCGCGUGCAGGAAGAAGGCCUUCUGGUUGUAAACUGCUUUUGUACGGAACGAAACGGUCCUGGUUAAUACCCGGGGCUAAUGACGGUACCGUAAGAAUAAGCACCGGCUAACUACGUGCCAGCAGCCGCGGUAAUACGUAGGGUGCAAGCGUUAAUCGGAAUUACUGGGCGUAAAGCGUGCGCAGGCGGUGCUGUAAGACAGGCGUGAAAUCCCCGGGCUUAACCUGGGAAUUGCGCUUGUGACUGCAGUGCUGGAGUGCGGCAGAGGGGGAUGGAAUUCCGCGUGUAGCAGUGAAAUGCGUAGAUAUGCGGAGGAACACCGAUGGCGAAGGCAAUCCCCUGGGCCUGCACUGACGCUCAUGCACGAAAGCGUGGGGAGCAAACAGGAUUAGAAACCCGUGUAGUCC
rnacentral:rRNA from 1 species